rnacentral:lncRNA from 10 species
UUUAUAUUUAAUUUUAAGCAUAAUUUGAUACAAAAUGUAAUCUUAAGUAUUUUAUACAUAAAAUAGAUAUGGCAAAUAGCAAUCUUUAUACUAGUUAAUUUCCAUAAUAGCACACAAGUCAGAGUGAUUUUAUACAACUGAAGAUUACAGAAUGCAAAACUUCAGGACUUAAAAGAUCUUCACAGUCUUAUUUUCAACAUGACUGAAUCUACUGUUGUAAGCCUCAAAACUACAAAAUAUUUUACAGUAGUGAUUAAAGACAAUAUAUAUCGGCUAGGCAUGGUGGCUCACACCUGUAAUCCAGCACUUUGGGAGGCCAAGGCAGGUGGAUCCCGAGGUCAGGAGUUCUAGACCAGCCUGGCCAAUAUGGUGAAACCUCAUCUCUACUAAAAAUACAAAAAUUAGCCGGGCGUGGUGGCACACGCCUGUAAUCCCAGCUACUUAGGAGGCUGAGGCACGAGAAUUGCUUGAACCCAGGAGGUGGAGUUUGCAGUGCCGAGAUCGUGCCAUUGAACUCCAGCCUGGGCAACAGAGCAAGACUUCGUCUCAAAAAAAAAAAAAAAAAAUUAAAAAAAGAUAAUAUAUAUAUCAUUGCAGUAACAGCUUUCCAAGUGAUUUCUCAAGUCACAGGUGCUGGUUUCUUCUGUAUGUGUGAAAUUAUUUCUCAUUUCCUUGGUCCCAUUUGAGAUUAUCUGUAGUUCAGUUGACCCCCCUGAGCCUACUCCUUAGCCUCUUCUUUAUAUCGCUGAACACACCUAUUCUGUCUCUAAACAUGUGGCCAAGAUAUUUUUAUUACAGCCCAAACUGAAAGGUGGGUAAGAGCCUAAAGCACCUCAAGGGAGAAGGGAGAGCAGUGUUUCCCUUCCAGACUUCUGAGUCUUCCUAAGCUUUCCACAUGCUUAGUGUUCAUCUCAUAAUUCUACUGAAAGUCAGGCAGCUGGUAUGGGGAUUGCUACAACUGAAACCAAAUGGCUCUCAGAACCAAGAUUAGAAAUCAGGAACGUUGCAUUGUUUAUUUGGAGUUAUAG